AGUACCGUAGUUCAAAGGCUAGAGCGCCCGACUGUCUAUCGGGAAGGUACGGGUUCGAGUCCCGUCGGUACUGCGA
rnacentral:tRNA from 1 species